AACGCACAUUGCACUCUAUUCACGUAGAGUAUGCCUGUUUGAGAAUCUAUAGUAUUCUUUUUUUAAAUUACCUUCCACUUGCAAAAGUGGUAUAGUAAUUUGAAAAGUUUUGUAGAAUCCAUUUCAUUAUGGUUCUAUUAAAUCUAUAGCUUAGUUUACUUUAGAAAAUGAUGACUUUUCUAUAAAAACUUUGUCGAAAAGUAUUUGAAUGAACUUUCAGUUCUCCCUAUACUAAUUACGCAAAGAGAGAAUAGUUUUCUAUAGUGAAUUGAGUUCAUAACCAUAUAAAACAAAAAGAAACCUUCAACUUGCAAAAGUUUUUGAUUUUUCAUGUUUUGAACCAUGGUCUCAAAUCAGGUAGGAUUACCCGCUGAACUUAA
rnacentral:misc_RNA from 1 species